rnacentral:lncRNA from 1 species
CUGCCAUGUGAGACACCUGCUCUCACUUAGCCUGCUGUCAUAAGCAAAAGCUUUCUGAGUCCUCACCAGAAGUGAGUAGACGCCAGUGGGAUGCUUCCUGUGCAGCCUGCAGAACUGUGAGCCAAUUUAACCUCUAUUCUUUAUAAAUUACCCAGACUUGGGUAUUUCUUUAUAGCAAUGCAAGAAUGACCUAAGACAUCCUAAGAGGGGCAAUAAAUAUUUUUGAACAAUAACAAAAUAUACCACAAGGAGUUUAUCUUUUUAUUACUUAAUUUUUUUACAGCCUUCCUUCUCUCCCUUUACAAGGAGUUAAAUGAUUUGUCCCAAAUCACACAACUAGCAAGUGACAGGAUAAAAACUUGAAAGGAGAUUAUUUGACUUAUAAAUCCAGUUUCUCUUCAUUUCAUCAUAAAGCAGACUGACUAUCAGAGGGAAUAAUGGAGUGACUAUGAAGCAACCGUUCUCUAAUGCCCUUAACUGACCCAGCAGCCAAAAACAUCUGAAGAGGUGGAGAACAAAUGAGAUAAGUGAUUUCUUAAGGAGAAUACGUGUGGAUCAUGGACUAGAAUAAUGACAAUGGGAAUGGGGAAAACUAGUUGGAUCAAAGAAAUAUUUUGGAGCCAGAUUUUCUUCAAAUAUGUCAAUUAAGACUACGUAUCACAACAGAUUGAAUGCUGAAGUGGACAGAAAAACCCACUGUCUUUCUUUAAAUCAGAAAACUACCUUGGACUACGAGGGUGUGGGGUGAGCCAGCCAUUACCCCCACCCUGAAGCCUGUCCCCCUUUUCUUCUCCAUGGACUACAAGGGGUCUUGAGGGCAUGCAGGUGAACACCCAGAUCACAAGUCCAAGCAGAUACCCACCUGCUGCAAACAGCUACCUAUUGGCCACCUUUUGGGCCUAGGGGUAUGCAUAUCUACAGCGACAUCCACUUUCAGAAGGACAGACACUUUGAAGAAACCUAUGUAGGCCCUGGAGGCAGGAUUUGGACCAUUUGGGCAAGAAAUCCAGGGUUCCAGAUAUUAAUGAGAAAGAGUUCGUCCUUCCCGUAACGUUUUCUCUAAAGGAAAAAGAAGAUCUGAUAGGGUUAAGUGACUUCUCCAGGGCUCCACAGUGGCAAGUGGCAAAGGCGGGGUUAGGAGACCAGACUUCUGACUUUACGGGGCUAUGCCUGUGUUUCAUGCUGCUUCCCCCUAGUCUGAUAUUGUAAAGGAGUCACCAAAUCUAUGUCUCCAGCUGAGAUGAGAAGAAAUUGGAUUUCCUGAGAAUCAUGAUAGCUGCCUCUUACUAAACCCUGGCUAUGCUCAGGCACCAUUCCAAGAACUUUAAGUAUAUGAUCUCUAACAAUAACAACCUGGCAAUGUAAGUAUUGUUAUUCUCUUCUUACAUAUGUGACAAUGACAAUUCAGAGUUGUUAGGUAACUAUUCCAAUUAUAAACUUCAAUAAAUGUCAAUAUGUGUGUGUGUGUACACAUAUAUGUAUACACAUACAUAUAUACACAUAUAUGCACACACAUACAUAUAUACAUAUAUGCACACACAUACAUAUAUACAUAUAUGCACACACAUACAUAUAUACACAUAUAUGUGCACACACAUACAUAUAUACACAUAUAUGUGUACACACAUACAUAUAUACACAUAUAUGUGUACACACAUGCAUAUAUACACACAUAUAUGUGUACACACAUGCAUAUAUACACACAUAUAUGUGUACACACAUGCAUAUAUACACACAUAUAUGUGUACACACAUGCAUAUAUACACACAUAUAUGUGUACACACAUGCACAUAUAUACACAUAUAUGUGUACACACAUGCCCAUAUAUACACAUAUAUGUGUACACACAUGCAUAUAUAUACACAUAUAUGUGUACACACAUGCAUAUAUAUACACAUAUAUGUGUGCACACAUGCAUAUAUAUACACAUAUAUGUGUGCACACAUACAUAUAUUUAUAUAUUCCUGCCUAUGUUCAUGUAAAAUUGUGACAAGAUUCCACCAAAUUGCCCUUCAAAAAGGAUUGCACAAAAUCGAUUGUGACUUUUCCC